ACAGACGGAAACGACUGCUAAUACCGAAUGUGUUCCGGAGACCGCAUGAUUUCCGGAAGAAAGGAUGGCCUCUAUUUAUAAGCUAUCGCCUGAAGAGGGGUUUGCGUCUGAUUGGGCAGUUGGUGAGGUAACGGCCCACCAAACCUACGAUCAGUAGCCGGUCUGAGAGGAUGAACGGCCACACUGGAACUGAGACACGGUCCAGACUCCUACGGGAGGCAGCAGUGGGGAAUCUUCCGCAAUGGACGAAAGUCUGACGGAGCAACGCCGCGUGAGUGAUGACGGCCUUCGGGUUGCAAAGCUCUGUGAUCGGGGACGAAUGGCUGGUAUGCUAAUACCAUAUCAGAGUGACGGUACCCGAAUAGCAAGCCACGGCUAACUACGUGCCAGCAGCCGCGGUAAUACGUAGGUGGCAAGCGUUGUCCGGAAUUAUUGGGCGUAAAGCGCGCGCAGGCGGCUUCUUAAGUCCAUCUUAAAAGUGCGGGGCUUAACCCCGUGAUGGGAUGGAAACUGGGAGGCUGGAGUAUCGGAGAGGAAAGUGGAAUUCCUAGUGUAGCGGUGAAAUGCGUAGAGAUUAGGAAGAACACCGGUGGCGAAGGCGACUUUCUGGACGACAACUGACGCUGAGGCGCGAAAGCGUGGGGAGCAAACAGGAUUA
rnacentral:rRNA from 1 species